rnacentral:rRNA from 1 species
CCUACGGGUGGCUGCAGUGGGGAAUUUUGGACAAUGGGCGCAAGCCUGAUCCAGCCAUUCCGCGUGAGUGAAGAAGGCCUUCGGGUUGUAAAGCUCUUUCGCAAGGGAAGAAAACUUAUCCUCUAACAUAGGAUGAGGUUGACGGUACCUUGAUAAGAAGCACCGGCUAACGACGUGCCAGCAGCCGCGGUAAUACGUAGGGUGCGAGCGGGAAUCGGAAUGAGUGGGGGCAGUUUUGUAGCAGAGAUGUGAAAUCCCCGAGCUCAACUUGGGAACUGCGUUUGAAACUACAAGACUAGAAUAGGUCAGAGGGGGGUAGAAUUCCACGUGUAGCAGUGAAAUGCGUAGAGAUGUGGAGGAAUAUCAAUGGCGAAGGCAGCCCCCUGGGAUCAUAUUGACGCUCAUGCACGAAAGCGUGGGGAGCAAACAGGAUUAGACACCCGGGUAGUC